CGUUAUGGCAGGUGUACGUGGGGCACCUCGUGUGCGCCGGGUCUCUCUUCGUCCUCGGUCUGUCAACCCGCGUACAGCUGCCACCUCC
rnacentral:antisense_RNA from 1 species